UAGGGAAUCUUCCACAAUGGACGAAAGUCUGAUGGAGCAACGCCGCGUGAGUGAAGAAGGGUUUCGGCUCGUAAAACUCUGUUGUUAAAGAAGAACAUAUCUGAGAGUAACUGUUCAGGUAUUGACGGUAUUUAACCAGAAAGCCGCGGCUAACUACGUGCCAC
rnacentral:rRNA from 1 species